UAUUUAGCUGUGCUGAUGCUGUUUGCCGUGUGUUUUGCAUCAGUGCUUCGUGACAUCGGCUGUAUUGCGUGUUUUCGCCGACGGCUUACUACCACAAUGGCGGGAUCUGCGUUCGCCGCCUUCGUGUCUCGGUGCGUCUUUGUACGUCGCACGUUCGGAUAACACUUUUUCCGACGGCUGGACAUCCUUAUCGUACCUUGGCGCUAGCUGGAUGACGGGACCUCAUCAUGAUCAGUGAAGCUUCUCAGACUUGA
rnacentral:lncRNA from 1 species